UAGUACCAGUACCAGAGCCAAGCCAUGGACUCAAGCAUGGAAAACCUUUCUUCAAAGCAGAUGAUGGAGCAGAUAGCUGACCUCGCGCACAGUCAGAGUCAGCUGAAGGAGCUGACCAAGGAGAUGAGACAAUGGCUGGAUGUCGCUGACGAGGAGAUAUCAGAGCUGCGCUCACAGAACACUAGCAUGACAAAGCACAUCAAAAGACUGGAGAAGCUCCUCAGUGAAAAAGCCCACAAUGAAGCAGAGUCAAGCGGGUUACUACGAGGCGAGGACCUUGAUGCAGAUAAAAUCAAUGCGCAAAAGAUGAACAAGAU
rnacentral:lncRNA from 1 species